rnacentral:rRNA from 1 species
CAGUCGCCGCGGUAAUACGAAGGGUGCAAGCGUUAAUCGGAAUUACUGGGCGUAAAGCGUGCGUAGGCGGUGAGUUAAGUCUGCUGUGAAAUCCCCGGGCUCAACCUGGGAAUGGCAGUGGAUACUGGCUCGCUAGAGUGUGUCAGAGGAUGGUGGAAUUCCCGGUGUAGCGGUGAAAUGCGUAGAGAUCGGGAGGAACAUCAGUGGCGAAGGCGGCCAUCUGGGACAACACUGACGCUCAUGCACGAAAGCGUGGGGAGCAAACAGGAUUAGAUACCCCUGUAGUCCCUGUCUCUUAUAC